CUACGGGGGCUGCAGUGGGGAAUAUUGGACAAUGGGGGAAACCCUGAUCCAGCAAUGCCGCGUGUGUGAAGAAGGCCUGCGGGUUGUAAAGCACUUUCGGUUGGGAGGACUGCUUCUAGCACUAAUAUUGUUGGAAGUUGACGUUACCUUCAGAAGAAGCACCGGCUAAGUCCGUGCCAGCAGCCGCGGUAAUACGGAGGGUGCAAGCGUGAAUCGGAAUUACUGGGCGUAAAGCGCGCGUAGGCGGCUAGAUCAGUCGGGUGUGAAAGCCCCGGGCUUAACCUGGGAACUGCAUCCGAUACUGUCUAGCUUGAGUACAAGAGAGGAGAGUGGAAUUCCACAUGUAGCGGUGAAAUGCGUAGAUAUGUGGAGGAACACCAAUGGCGAAGGCAGCUCUCUGGCCUGAUACUGACGCUGAGGUGCGAAAGCGUGGGGAGCAAACAGGAUUAGAUACCCGUGUAGUC
rnacentral:rRNA from 1 species